rnacentral:tRNA from 1 species
CGGUGGCGUGGGCCAUGGCGAGCCGUUGCGGCGGGAGCUCGCGCCGGCGGAUUUCGCGUUCGAGUCGCUGGCCGCCGAC